UAAACUAAAACAUAGUUAUUUGAGCAGACUUAUAACAACAAACCUGAUUAUAGCUACUUGUACUCAUCGUCAGAGGAGAUGGAUUUGAGGAAUUUGAAUUAGAUUGUGCAUGACAUGAGGAAUAUGAGUUCAAAACCUGAAAUACGAUAAUAAAAAAAAAAUUCAUGAACUAGUAAGAUUACUUAAUCUGAAAUCAAACUAAGUGUCAGUUAUACGUAUCAACUUGCCUGAUUAGAUGGAGGCAAACAUGGCUGCACAUUAAUAGUUGAGGACUGUGUGCAAACCUUCUUACUAGAUGAGACUGGAUCUUUUGAUGCUCUGUUCUUUUGCUUCUCAAUAUUACCUUUGCUUGACAACACUGGAUCUUCUGAUUGCUUUUGUUUUUGUUGCUUUGCCGCAUCACCUUUUU
rnacentral:lncRNA from 1 species